UUCCAUAAUCAAAAAUUCCAUAAUCAAAAAUACUUAAAACUAAUGUAAAAUGAAGACAAAUACAAAUCAUCAGUUUACCACAAUUCUAAACUAAACUACAAACCCUAGGUAGACCGUAGCUGAUAAAGUCUACUUAAUCUUGCAAGCUAGACGUACAUUACUGAAACCCGACACAAUUCCCAAAGAUGCUGGUACCAGCUUAAACUCAAGCUUACAUGGGGUCACAAAUAAUUGUAAUAACAAUGGCGUUCAGCUAUGGACUUGCCAUGGAGGAUACCUACUGGAUCAACGUCUGUGAAAAAUCAAGUCUUGAAAAGAUGGAAAAACAUUACAGGUGAGAUUUGAGCUCAGAACCACAGCUCCACAGCCAUCAGUUUCACCCCUAGAUAUAUAGUGGGACAUACAUUAGAAGAAGGUAGUGAGCGUACCAUUG